rnacentral:rRNA from 1 species
GACGAACGCUGGCGGCGUGCUUAACACAUGCAAGUCGAACGGAAAGGCCCUGCUUUUGUGGGGUGCUCGAGUGGCGAACGGGUGAGUAACACGUGAGUAACCUGCCCUUGACUUUGGGAUAACUUCAGGAAACUGGGGCUAAUACCGGAUAGGAGCUCCUGCUGCAUGGUGGGGGUUGGAAAGUUUCGGCGGUUGGAGAUGGACUCGCGGCUUAUCAGCUUGUUGGUGGGGUAGUGGCUUACCAAGGCUUUGACGGGUAGCCGGCCUGAGAGGGUGACCGGCCACAUUGGGACUGCGAUGCGGCCCAGACUCCUACGGGAGGCAGCAGUGGGGAAUAUUGCACAAUGGGCGGAAGCCUGAUGCAGCAACGCCGCGUGCGGGAUGACGGCCUUCGGGUUGUAAACCGCUUUCGCCUGUGACGAAGCGUGAGUGACGGUAAUGGGUAAAGAAGCACCGGCUAACUACGUG